rnacentral:rRNA from 1 species
UACGUAGGGUGCGAGCGUUGUCCGGAAUUAUUGGGCGUAAAGAGCUCGUAGGCGGUCUGUCGCGUCGAUCGUGAAAACUUGGGGCUUAACCCUGAGCUUGCGGUCGAUACGGGCAUGACUGGAGUUCGGCAGGGGAGACUGGAAUUCCUGGUGUAGCGGUGGAAUGCGCAGAUAUCAGGAGGAACACCGGUGGCGAAGGCGGGUCUCUGGGACGGUACUGACGCUGAGACGCGAAAGCGUGGGGAGCGAACAGG